GAGCCCGCUGACGUCCCGUCACGCCGUCGUGUUUGAUUAAAGAAAGGUUACCGUGGCAACCGCCGCGCUGAUGCGGAGUAACAGGAAGGAGCUGAAGGGUCAGGGAAAAGCAAAAACUGGAAAAAGAAGCUGAAGGCUGAUGAUGCGUUGCAUGAGUCCAUCGGAGGCCUCCCGUUGCCAUGGUUACGGCACUGGGUGCUUCGACCGCUGCUCUGCGGAACCAGGCGGUUUGAUUCUGUCGCUGCUUGACGGGAUUCAGGCCGAUUCUUAGGGAAGAAAUGGCCUCAUGAUCCUGUCUGUGUUCAUCAAACGAUGGACGGAGAGGAACCGGAUCGGACCGGACCGUGUCCAGGAGAUUCAAUCCUCACUUUGUUCAUACAUCAGCAGUAAAAUAAAGUUUGUUUUAAGGCCUGA